rnacentral:rRNA from 1 species
UAGAUACCCACUAUGCUCAGCCUUAAACCUAAGUGAUUACAACAACAAAAUCACUCGCCAGAGUACUACUAGCAACAGCUUAAAACUCAAAGGACUUGGCGGUGCUUCAUACCCCCUAGAGGAGCCUGUUCUAUAAUCGAUAAACCCCGAUCAACCUCACCAACCCUUGCUAAUUCAGUCUAUAUACCGCCAUCUCCAGCAAACCCCUAUAGGGAUCAAUAGUAAGCUUAACUAUUCAAACAUAAAAACGUUAGGUCAAGGUGUAACCGAUGGGAUGGGAAGAAAUGGGCUACAUUUUCUUGUCUUAAGAAAACUUCAAAAUCCUUACGAAAGCCCCCAUGAAACUGAGGGCCCAAGGAGGAUUUAGUAGUAAAUCAAGAAUAGAGUGCUUGGUUGAACUAGGCCAUGGAGCACGCACACACCGCCCGUCACCCUAU